AUCGAACCCGGAGAUAGCUGGUUCUCCUCGAAAUAGCUUUAGGGCUAGCCUCAUGGAUCAUUGAUGGGGGUAGAGCACUGAAUGUGCGCGGGGGCCACAAAGCCUACCAAACGCUAUCAAACUUCGAAUACCAUACAAUGCAGACCAUGGGAGUCAGUCCGCGAGAGAUAAGUUCCGCGGGCAAAAGGGGAACACCCCAGAUCAACCGCUAAGGUCCCCAAGUUCACGUUAAGUGGAGAAGGAUGUGGAAUUGCACAGACAACCAGGAUGUUGGCUCAGAAGCAGCCACACAUUUAAAGAGUGCGUAAUAGCUCACUGGUCGAGUGAUUGUGCGCCGAAGAUGUCCGGGGCUAAACGUGACACCGAAGCGAUGGGUGCAUCUGAAAGGAUGCGCGGUAGAGGAGCAAUGUGCAGAGGCAGAAGCCGUAUCGAGAGGCACGGUGGACACUGCACAAGAGAGAAUGCCGGUAUGAGUAGCGAGAGGCAUGCGAGAAACAUGCCCGUCGAAAGCCCAAGGUUUCCUGGGGAAGGUUCAUCCGCCCAGGGUAAGUCGGGGCCUAAGCCGAGGACGGAAGUCGUAGGCGAUGGACAGCAGGUGUAGAUUCCUGCACUACCGAUGGAAUGAAGCAGUGACACAGAAGGAUAACUCGAGCAGGGUGAUGGUCAACCCUGUGCAAGCAUCAAGGUUGGGUUGUAGUGAAGUACGCAACCCUACAAGCUGAGGUGUGAUGCGGACCGAAAUUUCAGUAGGGAAGCGAGUGAGUUCACGCUGGCGAGAAAAGCUGCUAGUACAUCCAAAGGUACCCGUACCGGAAACCGACGCAGGUGGGCGAGGAGAGAAUCCUGAGACGAACGGGAGAACCCUUGUUAAGGAACUCGGCAAAAUGACCCCGUAACUUCGGGAUAAGGGGUGCCUGCGAGAGCAGGCCGCAGAGAAUAGUCACAAGCGACUGUUUAGCAAAAACACAGGUAUCUGCGAAAGCGAGAGCUGACGUAUAGGUGCUGACACCUGCCCGGUGCUGGAAGGUUAAGGGAACAUGUUAGAGCAAUCGAAGCAUCGAACCGAAGCCCCAGUAAACGGCGGCCGUAACUAUAACGGUCCUAAGGUAGCGAAAUUCCUUGUCGGGUAAGUUCCGACCCGCACGAAUGGUGUAACGACUUGUGAGCUGUCUCAACAGGGGGCCCGGUGAAAUUGAAGUAUGGGUGAAGAUGCCCAUUACCCGCGACUGGACGGAGAGACCCCGUAGAGCUUUACUGCAGCCUGAUAUUGAGUUUCGGUAACUGAUGCACAGGAUAGGUGGGAGUCUGAGAGACACGGGUUUCGGCUCGUGUGGAGACGCUGUUGGGAUACCACUCUUCGGUUACUGAAAUUCUAACAUAGCUCUGUGAAACCAGAGGAUGGACAGUGUCAGGUGGACAGUUUGACUGGGGCGGUCGCCUCCGAAAGAGUAACGGAGGCGCCCAAAGGUACCCUCAGAAUGGAUGGAAACCAUUCGAAGAGCGCAAAGGCAGAAGGGUGCCUGACUGCGAGAUUGACAAAUCGAGCAGAGACGAAAGUCGGGCUUAGUGAUCCGGCGGUAUUGAGUGGAAAAGCCGUCGCUUAACGGAUAAAAGCUACCUCGGGGAUAACAGGCUGAUCUCCCCCAAGAGUCCACAUCGACGGGGAGGUUUGGCAC
rnacentral:rRNA from 1 species